AUCUAAAUUUGGGAGAGUCAUGGUUCAGUCCAUAGCACCAUACCGAAUAACAACUAUGGAAUUUUUUCCAUUUUGUGUCACCAGAUUUUUAAUUAAUGCCUAUGCUUCAUCCUGGUUAUAUGUACUUUAGUGAACUGGCAGAAUAUGUGUAUAGAUGUCAUCCUUGCAGUAGGAAACAUUCUGCCCUGGCCAUCAGAAAGUGUUUUCCUGGAAUGUGCUGUUCCUCUUUUGCUGCCAACUCUAAUGUUGAAGGUCAGAGGGUAACAGAUGAAAUCUAGAGAAUGCAAUCAACCAAUUCCCAACUUCUAA